GACGAACGCUGGCGGCGUGCUUAACACAUGCAAGUCGAACGGAAAGGCCCUGCUUUUGUGGGGUGCUCGAGUGGCGAACGGGUGAGUAACACGUGAGUAACCUGCCCUUGACUUUGGGAUAAAUUCAGGAAACUGGGGCUAAUACCGGAUAGGAGCUCCUGCUGCAUGGUGGGGGUUGGAAAGUUUCGGCGGUUGGGGCUGGACUCGCGGCUUAUCAGCUUGUUGGUGGGGUAGUGGCUUACCAAGGCUUUGACGGGUAGCCGGCCUGGGAGGGUGACCGGCCACAUGGGGACUGAGAUACGCCCCAGACGCCUACGGGAGGCAGCAGUGGGGAAUAUUGCGCAAUGGGCGGAAGCCUGAUACAGCAACGCCGCGUGCGUGAUGACGGCCUUCGGGUUGUAAACCGCUUUCGCCUGUGACGAAGCGGGAUUGACGGUAAUGAGUAAAGAAGCACCGGCUAACUACGUG
rnacentral:rRNA from 1 species